rnacentral:SRP_RNA from 1 species
GCCGAGCUUGGUAACGCUUGCUUGUAACCUAAGUUGGGGCAUUAAGGUGUUGGAAAAGUAUAAUGUUUGCAAAAAAAUAUUUAAUUAUUAUGUUA